GACGAACGCUGGCGGCGUGCCUAAUACAUGCAAGUAGAACGCUGAAGGAGGAGCUUGCUUCUCUGGAUGAGUUGCGAACGGGUGAGUAACGCGUAGGUAACCUGCCUGGUAGCGGGGGAUAACUAUUGGAAACGGUAGCUAAUACCGCAUAAUAUUGACUAUUGCAUGAUAGUCAGUUGAAAGGUGCAACUGCACCACUACCAGAUGGACCUGCGUUGUAUUAGCUAGUUGGUGGGGUAACGGCUCACCAAGGCGACGAUACAUAGCCGACCUGAGAGGGUGAUCGGCCACACUGGGACUGAGACACGGCCCAGACUCCUACGGGAGGCAGCAGUAGGGAAUCUUCGGCAAUGGACGGAAGUCUGACCGAGCAACGCCGCGUGAGUGAAGAAGGUUGUCGGAUCGUAAAGCUCUGUUGUAAGAGAAGAACGAGUGUGAGAGUGGAAAGCUCACACUGUGACGGUAUCUUACCAGAAAGGGACGGCUAACUACGUG
rnacentral:rRNA from 1 species